rnacentral:hammerhead_ribozyme from 1 species
AUCCAGGAUGAUGAGUCCCAAAAAGAACGAAAUGCACAUCCUGGAU